rnacentral:rRNA from 1 species
UCCACCUCUUCCCAUUCCGAACAGAGAAGUUAAG